AGUGAACGCUGGCGGUAGGCCUAACACAUGCAAGUCGAACGGCAGCACAGUAAUAGCUUGCUCUUACGGGUGGCGAGUGGCGGACGGGUGAGGAAUACAUCGGAAUCUACUUUUUCGUGGGGGAUAACGUAGGGAAACUUACGCUAAUACCGCAUACGACCUACGGGUGAAAGCAUGGGAUCUUCGGACCUUGCGCGAUUGAAUGAGCCGAUGUCGGAUUAGCUAGUUGGCGGGGUAAAGGCCCACCAAGGCGACGAUCCGUAGCUGGUCUGAGAGGAUGAUCAGCCAAACUGGAACUGAGACACGGUCCAGACUCCUACGGGAGGAAGCAGUGGGGAAUAUUGGACAAUGGGCGCAAGCCUGAUCCAGCCAUACCGCGUGGGUGAAGAAGGACUUCGGGUUGUAAAGCCCUUUUGUUGGGAAAGAAAAGCAGCAGGUUAAUACCACGCUGUUCUGACGGUACCCAAAGAAUAAGCACCGGCUAACUUCGUG
rnacentral:rRNA from 1 species